GGAUGAUAGAACGUGACUUUAACAGCAGAUACAGAGGAAGAGGAGGAAGAGGAGGGAGUGGAAGGAUGAUAGAACGUGACUUUAACAGCAGAUACAGAGGAAGAGAAGGUAGAGAGGAGGGAGUGGAAGGAUGAUAGAACGUGACUUUAACAGCAGAUACAGAGGAAGGUAGAGAGGAGGGAGUGGAAGGAUGAUAGAACGUGACUAUAACAGCAGAUACAGAGGAAGAGGGAGUGGAAGGAUGAUAGAACGUGACUUUAACAGC